UGAGCUUGAAAAGGUAAUCGCUGGUAUUUUAUCAGAGGAAAGUCCGGGCAGCACAGGGUACGGUAGUCGCUAACGGCGACCGUUCGUAAGGAUAGGGAAAGUGCCACAGAAACUAAACAGCUUUCGAGCAAUGGUGAAAAGAGUGGGGUAAGAGCCCACAGCGAUAUGUAGCGAUAUAUAUCGGAGGUAAACCCUACCGGCUGCAAGGAGUGCUAGAUACCCCGUCCCGGGGAUGCACGUUCACCGCUUGAUCCUUAGAGCAAUUUAAGGACUAGAUAGAUGAUUACCCCUUGUAUUUAUACGAGGACAGAACCCGGCUUAUGUUGAGCUCAUUAA
rnacentral:RNase_P_RNA from 1 species